rnacentral:rRNA from 1 species
AGUGAACGCUGGCGGUAGGGCUAACACAUGCAAGUCGAACGGCAGCACAGUAAGAGCUUGCUCUUACGGGUGGCGAGUGGCGGACGGGUGAGGAAUACAUCGGAAUCUACUUUUUCGUGGGGGAUAACGUAGGGAAACUUACGCUAAUACCGCAUACGACCUACGGGUGAAAGCAGGGGAUCUUCGGACCUUGCGCGAUUGAAUGAGCCGAUGUCGGAUUAGCUAGUUGGCGGGGUAAAGGCCCACCAAGGCGACGAUCCGUAGCUGGUCUGAGAGGAUGAUCAGCCACACUGGAACUGAGACACGGUCAAGACGACUACGGGAGGCAGCAGUGGGGAAUAUUGGACAAUGGGCGCAAGCCUGAUCCAGCCAUACCGCGUGGGUGAAGAAGGCCUUCGGGUUGUAAAGCCCUUUUGUUGGGAAAGAAAAGCAGCAGGUUAAUACCCCGCUGUUCUGACGGUACCCAAAGAAUAAGCACCGGCUAACUUCGUG